UGACCUCAGAUCAGGCAAGGCUACCCGCUGAAUUUAAGCAUAUUAAUAAGCGGAGGAAAAGAAACUAACAAGGAUUCCCCUAGUAAUGGCGAAUGAAGCGGGAACAGCUCAAAUUUAAAAUCUCCGUUGCUUGCAACGGCGAAUUGUAGUUUCGAGAAGCACUUUCUCGGCGGAUCCGAGGUCGUCCAAGUUGCUUGGAACAGCACGUCGUAGAGGGUGACAACCCCGUCUGCGGCGAUCUCGGCCGUUCACGAUGUGCUUUCGACGAGUCGGGUUGUUUGGGAAUGCAGCCCAAAAUGGGUGGUAAACUCCAUCUAAAGCUAAAUAUUGGCACGAGACCGAUAGCGAACAAGUACCGUGAGGGANAGAUGAAAAGCACUUUGAAAAGAGAGUUAAAAAGUACGUGAAACCGUUAAAAGGGAAACGAAUGGGGUUAGCAAUGCGUCGUGCGAGAUUCAGCCGGUGGGUGGGCCAGGCGGGCGGUUGGCGGAUCUGAAUGGACCGCUGCCGUUCGGGUUGGUUUCCCGACCGUCGCACUUCUCGCAGGCGCGCGCCAACGUCGGUUAGGGCUGGGUUUCAAAGGCGGUGGAAAGGUAGGUUUGGACUCUCGGGCCCGAACUGUUACAGUCCUCCGUUUGUCAUGGCCCGGACCUGACCGAGGAGCUUGCGGUGCAUGCCGUUCGGCUAGGGUCCCGUCUUCCCGGUCGGUCGUCGAAUGCGGUGGACUGCAUGCAGUGCGCCGCGACUACUGCCGGUCGCGAGGGCGGUGAUUUCGUACUAUGCACCCACGACGUUGGCGACCAUAUGGCCUCAUCCGACCCGUCUUGAAACACGGACCAAGGAGUCUAACAUGUGUGCGAGUCUUUGAGUGAUCGAAACUCCGAGGCGAAAUGAAAGUGAAGGCGACUUCGGUCGCUGAGGUGAGAGCCUUUUACAAAAAAAUGCGCAUCAUUGACCGACCUAUUCUACUCUUAGAAAUUUUUGAGUAAGAGCGCAUCUGUUGGGACCCGAAAGAUGGUGAACUAUGCCUGAAUAGGGUGAAGCCAGAGGAAACUCUGGUGGAGGCUCGUAGCGAUUCUGACGUGCAAAUCGAUCGUCAAAUUUGGGUAUAGGGGCGAAAGACUAAUCGAACUGUCUAGUAGCUGGUU
rnacentral:ncRNA from 1 species